AGAGUUUGAUCCUGGCUCAGGAUGAACGCUGGCGGCGUGCCUAAUACAUGCAAGUCGAACGCGAGCACUUGUGCUCGAGUGGCGAACGGGUGAGUAAUACAUAAGUAACCUGCCCUAGACAGGGGGAUAACUAUUGGAAACGAUAGCUAAGACCGCAUAGGUACGGACACUGCAUGGUGACCGUAUUAAAAGUGCCUCAAAGCACUGGUAGAGGAUGGACUUAUGGCGCAUUAGCUGGUUGGCGGGGUAACGGCCCACCAAGGCGACGAUGCGUAGCCGACCUGAGAGGGUGACCGGCCACACUGGGACUGAGACACGGCCCAGACUCCUACGGGAGGCAGCAGUAGGGAAUUUUCGGCAAUGGGGGAAACCCUGACCGAGCAACGCCGCGUGAAGGAAGAAGGUUUUCGGAUUGUAAACUUCUGUUAUAAAGGAAGAACGGCGGCUACAGGAAAUGGUAGCCGAGUGACGGUACUUUAUUAGAAAGCCACGGCUAACUACGUGCCAGCAGCCGCGGUAAUACGUAGGUGGCAAGCGUUAUCCGGAUUUAUUGGGCGUAAAGCGAGCGCAGGCGGUUUUUUAAGUCUGAUGUGAAAGCCCCCGGCUCAACCGGGGAGGGUCAUUGGAAACUGGGAGACUUGAGUGCAGAAGAGGAGAGUGGAAUUCCAUGUGUAGCGGUGAAAUGCGUAGAUAUAUGGAGGAACACCAGUGGCGAAGGCGACGAUCUGGCCUGCAACUGACGCUCAGUCCCGAAAGCGUGGGGAGCAAAUAGGAUUAGAUACCCUAGUAGUCCACGCCGUAAACGAUGAGUACUAAGUGUUGGAUGUCAAAGUUCAGUGCUGCAGUUAACGCAAUAAGUACUCCGCCUGAGUAGUACGUUCGCAAGAAUGAAACUCAAAGGAAUUGACGGGGGCCCGCACAAGCGGUGGAGCAUGUGGUUUAA
rnacentral:rRNA from 1 species